rnacentral:rRNA from 1 species
AGACCCGAAACCCGGUGAUCUAGCCAUGGGCAGGUUGAAGGUUGGGUAACACUAACUGGAGGACCGAACCGACUAAUGUUGAAAAAUUAGCGGAUGACCUGUGGCUGGGGGUGAAAGGCCAAUCAAACCGGGAGAUAGCUGGUUCUCCCCGAAAGCUAUUUAGGUAGCGCCUCGUGAAUUCAUCUCCGGGGGUAGAGCACUGUUUCGGCUAGGGGGCCAUCCCGGCUUACCAACCCGAUGCAAACUGCGAAUACCGGAGAAUGUUAUCACGGGAGACACACGGCGGGUGCUAACGUCCGUCGUGAAGAGGGAAACAACCCAGACCGCCAGCUAAGGUCCCAAAGUCAUGGUUAAGUGGGAAACGAUGUGGGAAGGCCCAGACAGCCAGGAUGUUGGCUUAGAAGCAGCCAUCAUUUAAAGAAAGCGUAAUAGCUCACUGGUCGAGUCGGCCUGCGCGGAAGAUGUAACGGGGCUAAACCAUGCACCGAAGCUGCGGCAGCGACACUCAGGUGUUGUUGGGUAGGGGAGCGUUCUGUAAGCCUGCGAAGGUGGCCUGUGAGGGUUGCUGGAGGUAUCAGAAGUGCGAAUGCUGACAUAAGUAACGAUAAAGCGGGUGAAAAGCCCGCUCGCCGGAAGACUAAGGGUUCCUGUCCAACGUUAAUCGGGGCAGGGUGAGUCGACCCCUAAGGCGAGGCCGAAAGGCGUAGUCGAUGGGAAACGGGUUAAUAUUCCCGUACUUGGUGUUACUGCGAAGGGGGGACGGAGAAGGCUAUGU